rnacentral:ncRNA from 1 species
UACCUGUGUUUCAAUCAGCAGGUUAACGAGGAGGAGAGUGAUCGAAGAUUCGGCGGAUGCUCUCCCGUACACUCCCGGUGCGAGAUAUACCGGCAAAUAUGCAGGUGACUGCAAAACAAAUACGGUAUAAGGGAGAA